rnacentral:rRNA from 1 species
CUAUGGACUCCUACGGGAGGCAGCAUGGGGGAAUAUUGCACAAUGGGCGCAAGCCUGAUGCAGCCAUGCCGCGUGUAUGAAGAAGGCCUUCGGGUUGUAAAGUACUUUCAGCAGUGAGGAAGGUGGAUAUGUUAAUAGCAUAUUCAUUUGACGUUAGCUGCAGAAGAAGCACCGGCUAACUCCGUGCCAGCAGCCGCGGUAAUACGGAGGGUGCGAGCGUUAAUCGGAAUUACUGGGCGUAAAGCGCAUGCAGGUGGUUUGUUAAGUCAGAUGUGAAAGCCCGGGGCUCAACCUCGGAAUUGCAUUUGAAACUGGCAAACUAGAGUACUGUAGAGGGGGUAGAAUUUCAGGUGUAGCGGUGAAAUGCGUAGAGAUCUGAAGGAAUACCGGUGGCGAAGGCGGCCCCCUGGACAGAUACUGACACUCAGAUGCGAAAGCGUGGGGAGCAAACAGGAUUAGAUACCCUGGUAG